AUGGCCUGGAUCCCCGUCCUCCUCGUGCUCCUCUGUCACUGCGCAGGGUCCUUGGCGCAGUCUGUGCUGACUCAGCCAUCUUCAGUGUCUGGGUCCCUGGGCCAGACACUCACCAUUUCCUGCACUGGAAGCCCAGCCAACAUUGGGGCCGGUUAUUGUGUGUUUUGGUACCAACAGCCCCCAGGAAUGACCCCUAAAGCCAUUCUCCACGAGAACACUUGGCCUUUGGGGGUCCCAGACCGGUUCUCUGGCUCCAAGUCUGACAACACAGGCUCCUUGACCAUCACUGGGCUCCAGGAGGACGACGAGGCUGAUGAUCACGGCUCAGCGUGGGACAAGAAACUCAUUGCUUAUGCAGUGCCCAGUCCUUUGGGGGAAGAAGGGGGUGCACUGGGGAGAAAGCUGGAUUCCCCCGGGGAGCUGCUGCUGGAGAUGGAGAGGGGCCUGCAGGGCAGGCAGGGUGGUCAGGUGGUGGAUGGCAGGAUGGGCACCUUCAGGGCCUAG